UCUCUCGUCUCUUUUGAUCUCUGUCGAUUGCUUUCUUUCUCCUCCCCCCGUUCACAAUUAUAAAUGUCCUAAUCCUCGGGCGAAGCUUCCAGAAGGCUUCAUCCGUACGUUCUUUCCCUCUCCGCGCGAGCUAGGUGGUCUCUGACGCAUCUAGAAACUACUACGGUUUCUGCGGGUCUCAGAUCCGGCCGGGAAGAGGAGGCUGCGGCCAGAUAUAUGGCCGAGCAGCAGAGCGCCGCCAUCGCCGCGGCGGCGGAAGGCGCUGGUGGAGAGCCGCCGGUGCCGGUUCCGGCGGCGUUAGUGGCGCCGGCGGAUGCGGCAGGACAGAGGUCGCUGCCGACGCCGUUCCUGACGAAGACGUACCAGCUGGUGGAAGACCCGGCGGUGGACGACGUGAUCUCGUGGAACGAGGACGGAUCAACGUUCGUGGUCUGGCGGCCGGCGGAGUUCGCGCGGGACCUCCUCCCCAAGUACUUCAAGCACAACAACUUCUCAAGCUUCGUGCGGCAGCUCAACACCUACGGAUUUAGGAAGAUCGUGCCGGACCGAUGGGAGUUCGCAAACGAUUGCUUCCGGCGAGGGGAGAAGCGCCUGCUGUGCGACAUCCACCGGCGGAAGGUUGUCCAGUCGUCGGCGGGCCUGGCGGCGGCUGCAGCCGCCGCGGCCGCCGGAGCUGUGACGGUCGCCACGGCGGCUAUCCCCAUGGCGCUCCCGGUGACGCGGUCGGGCUCCCCGGAGCCGCACUCCUCCGAGGAGCAGGUUCUGUCGUCCAACUCCGGCUCCGCGGAGGAGCGCCUGCCUGGGCCGUCCGGGUCUGGCUCCGGCCUUGGCGGCGGCGCCGGCGGCGGCUCCUCCUCCGGUGAUUUGGGCGAAGAGAACGACCGGCUGCGUCGGGACAACACGCGGUUGACCCGCGAGCUGGGGCAGAUGAAGAAGCUCUGCAACAACAUCGUCCUCCUCAUGUCCAAGUACGCCGCCACCCAGCAACCGGACGGCCCCGCGUCGCUGUCCUCCGUGGUGAACUGCUCCGGCGAGUCCGCCCUGGCGCCUCCACCGCCGCUCCCGACGGCGAUACUGGACCUAAUGCCCUCGUGCUCGGCGCUCGCCACGGCCGCCGGCCUCGCCGUCGACGGGGAGCCCGACACGAGCGCGAGGCUGUUCGGCGUCUCCAUCGGGCAGAAGCGGUCGCGAGACAGCGACGACGGCGGCGGACGUGAGGAGGACCCCAGAGACGACGGCGGCGAGGGCGCGGACGUGAAGCCGGAGCAGGCGGAUCGGCGCCCCGACAGCCAGGAGCGGUCGCCGGACGGCCCGGACCAGCAUUCGUGGCCGAUAUACCGGCCCAAGCCCGUGUACCGGGCCUGCAACGGGCCGGAUGGGGCCGGGUCGGACCAAGACAGGUCCAACUCAAGGUGAGCUGGCAAGCAGCCCUGCCUAUAGAAGAAGCUUCGAGCACCUACUAAUUAUUAAUGAAGCAACCAAAAAUAAUAUUCCUACACAACAGCAUUAGUAGAGACAACGAUAGCGGCUUGCUCUGCUAGCCAGGGGAACUCUCCCCUUCCGUCUCUAUCUCUAUGUAACCUAAUCUACUUUAUUUCAUUUGCUUUAUAAGAUGUGUACCCCUAAUAAGCUGAUUGAUCGUUGUUCAUGGCUCCGGCCGUGGAAAUGGGUAGGAGUAUAACAUUUCCCGGACGUUUCUUCCUGCAGCGGCCGGGUGUGAAAUGGUUUAUGGGAUGGCAAGUCCGUGCACGGCUAUGAUACGCUGGGCAUUUAUAGACGGUGCGGCACGUAAACCCCCAGACGUCAUCCAGGCACUCGCUAGAAGGCUCGAGCAGGAAUGCGCCUUGUCCUCGGCAUGGGGCAAAAGAUGGCGACACGCUCUCCAAUCGUUGCAGGCCAGACAUGCGCAGUGCAGUGAACGUGCGCUGCCUUUCUCCGGAGUGUUUUCUAUUGCCGUCUUCUCUUUCUUUUCUUUACUUUUCGAAUGUGUAAUCUCCACGUCAGGGAGACACAUGUUGCGCCGCUACUAGCCAGUUGGAUCCC